AUCCAUCCAGUCUUCCACGUCUCCCAGCUCAAGCCGUUCGUCCCCAACUAUACCCCCGUGUUCACCAAGAUGCCCAAGAUCCCGGACCUCGCCGUCGACGAGCGUGCUCCAGUGGCCAUCCUGGACCGCUGCAUGAUGAAGAAGGGGAACGCUCUAGUGGUACAAGUGCAAGUGCAAUGGAACUCCAGGCCACCUUCGGCUGCUACCUGGGAAGACUACACCGUCCUGCGGCAAUGCUACCCUGACACGCAGCUCCGGGAAGAGGAAGAAGCAGCUGCUCGAGCGAGGGCAAAUAUCACGCCUGCAGAUCAAUCAGAUUGA
rnacentral:rRNA from 1 species